AUUAAAAAAAAAAACAGGAGUUUAUUGGGCAAUUCCUAGUCUUGUAGAUAUGGGUUCCUGGAAAGCACUGAACAGUGAGGGCUGUGAUGGUUAAUAGGAACUUGACAGGAUACGGAACUGCUGAAGACACAUUGCUGAGCAUGUCUGUGAAGUUAUUACUAGAUUAGGUUAACUGAGGUAGAAAGACCCACCAUAAACAGGUAGAGCUGGAGUUUCGUGGACUGAAUAAAAGCUGAGCCCAACCAUUUGUCACUCUUGACUUCAUGGCAACACAUAUGACCAUUUCAAAUAAAGCCCCACAAGUCAAUGUAACCAAAUUAUGUUAGAAUAAAAGAGAUAAAAAAAAAAAGUAAGAUGCCAAGAAAAAAGUAUUCUAAGUGGCAAGUAGACAAAGCCUACCCUCCAGAUUGUUGAGAGAAUAUGGUGGACUGCUGUGUUUUCUGCUUCCUGCCAAAAUGGAGGAAGCAAGGGCCCAAUUUGCACUCUAGCAUAAAACACCACAGAAAAAUGUGAACAGGAAGUAAAUGCUGUGGACAGUGAUUUGUAAAAUCAAAGGGAAUUUAUGACUGCUUCAUUCCCUUCCUGGGCACAUAAAAUGGCCAGCAAGACAGGGCACCCUUGAAAUCUGAGUCACAACAGUGUAUGGUAGGCCAGGCUGGAGAGGACGGUUUGGUUCACACAUCACAGGUUUCCCUUCUGUCUUCAGCGAAGUUGAGCAGUGUAAUUACUGCCCAAGAAAAUCAAAAUAAUCGCCUGAAAGGACAGGUCAUUGAAAGCAAUCCUUAGAACUCACUGUGCCUGGGUCAGACACAGGCUCAGUGAUCAAUCCCUUGUAAUUCACAGGCUAUCAAAAAUGCUGACAGCCAGAAUUUGCUUCAGCAGCAAAGGUUGCUCACAAAGUUUAAACAAGCUUGUAAAAAAUAAAUAAAUAACUUAAUUGUAGGCUGUUAAUCAGCUCAAGAAGAAAGCACACAGGUUGAUUCCACCUUGGCUGUUAGGAUAUCAGUGCUGUGGUAACUCUGGGUGCAGUUAGCUCUUUGCUAUAUUGAUUUCACUGCUUUGGAUAUGAACGAAAAGGGCUCACUUUCUUUUCCCUCAGAGGCACAGAUGAAAAUAAAUGGAGAAACUAUCUCCUUCUCUAGAAUGGCCCUUAUUGAGCAGAAAACAACACAGCAGGUGUUGGUGAAAAUUUGCAGAAAAGAACUCUGACAUGCUACCAAUGGAAGUAAAAUUAGUAAGGCUAGGUGGACCAGAGAGUCAUCAUACACAGCGACAGACCAGCAUCUAGGACAGCUACCCACUGUACUUACGAGGCACCACUGCGUAAGCACCUUCAACUCAUUAGGAUUUCCUGUGAUUCCUCAUACAACUGAGUUUACAUCUAGAUCUUCCUUUUUGCCUGGUUUAAGGGGCCUCUUUCUAAAUCAAGAGUUCUCCUCUUCCCUCUUUUCCUACCUAGUUCUGAAUUAACUAUUCUUUAUGAUUCUUGUUUUAUAAAACCAAUAGAUGAUAGUGGCAUCUGUUUUUAAUACAGUGGGAAUAUAUAACCUUAGCAAUACUAAUGAAAAUAAACACAUGUAAAUACAAUUGUAAAAUAGUAUUUUAUUGUGUUUAGUAGAGUGUAACAUUUCAUAAUCUUGCAUAAUGUUCAAAUGUCUGUUUAUUUAGUUAUGUGAAAAUCACCACAUCUCGCCUCAUCUGGCCUCGUCUUGUCUCAUCCAUCUUGUUUUCCUAUCAGGG
rnacentral:sRNA from 1 species